rnacentral:tRNA from 1 species
GCCACUAUAGCUUAGUUGGUAGAGUAUCUCAUUCGUAACGAGACGGUCGCCGGUUCGAGUCCGGCUAGUGGCU